rnacentral:rRNA from 1 species
UACAGAGGGUGCAAGCGUUAGUCGGAAUUACUGGGCGUAAAGCGUGCGUAGACGGUUAUGUAAGUCAGAUGUGAAAGCCCCGGGCUCAACCUGGGAAUUGCAUUUGAGACUGCAUAGCUAGGGUGCGGAAGAGGGAAGCGGAAUUUCCGGUGUAGCGGUGAAAUGCGUAGAUAUCGGAAGGAACACCAGUGGCGAAAGCGGCUUCCUGGUCCAGCACAGACGUUCAGGCACGAAAGCGUGGGGAGCAAACAGG